GAAUCUAAACGAACAUAGGCAAAUCUUGGAUGUCGGCAUGCCGCCUUUGUAGAUUUGUCCAAAGCCUCCGAUGCCGAGUAGAUUCUGUAGGUACAGAUGGUUGUAGGAGAACCUAUGAGCUCCGUCCUAGAAAUCAAAGCAAGAUUUGGUAGCUUAGAGAGAUGGAUCGACGACACCUUUUCUUCUGUUCCAUUUUACCCCAUACCUUUCAAAAAUUAAAGCGAUAUUUGGGAAUUGUCUGCAUGCCAAUCACAACAAAUCAAAUACAGGUAGCCUUAAACUAGACCUUCUCUCCCUCUUCCCUCCUCUCUCGGAUGAUGAGGGAAACCCCAUCGUCCCCUGCUCUCUUCCUUCCUCUUCGGGUUGCUUCCCCUAUGCAUCCUUCGGUUCCGGCUGUGGUUUCAUCGUUGGUCGCUCCUACCGCUCGAGGAAAGGCUCCAGAGAAGCGUGUCCCGGCUCCGGCCGCUGGCGCCCUUUCAUGGUCGCAGGCAUUGUCUUCACAUCUUUAAGGGCAAAUGCCAAAAGGGAGAAAAGAUGAUGGACAACGAUGAUUUUACAAAGUCAGGUCUGAUGUCAUAGAACUCAGAUUAAAAUACAACAGGACAUAUUGAUGGUGAAACUUCCAUGCAGAGAAACAGCAUACAAGUAUGAAUCUUGUCAAUGGCACCAUAUCAAGCAUAGGUUAGCAGUUGCAGAACAGAGACGCAGCGGCAGCUAAGUUGUUAAUUUACUUAAAUAUGUAAAUUAAGGGUCUUUUAACACUACAGUGAUGAAAUUUACUUGUUAGCAAACUCUCUGUUCUAUGGGUUUGUAUGAACAAUUUGUUCUGGUUCAAAGGAACAAAAACUGAGUCGUAAAGAUUAUAGUGUCAAAGAUUCAUUGGUAGUAGCAUGUGUGGAUCGUAUAUUGAUGGAUCAGAGGUAUGUGGAAAAAGUUGUGAUAUCUCAAUUCUCUAAGAUUUGCAGUAUGUUCGAUGCUUACAGGAUUGAAGAACAAAGAAAUAUCAGCUUCUUUAAGCAGUUCAUCAUGCUCAAAUCAAUGAUUCAACCACAUGAUACGAGCUUACUUGAUUCCCAUCUUGGCGAACACGAGCUCACACUGGAAGGAUUUCCCCUGCCCUUUGCCUCCCCAGAUACCCA